CGUACACGUUGGUUUUGCGUUGUUAUGCUCCUAAUUGGAAACCAAUUAAUUAAUUACCCUCACCUCGCCGACUCGUCCUGUCCUGCAUUCUGACCCUCGCGAUCACCAGUCCCUUGUGAAGUACUUUCAGACCUGACACAAAUUUCCACGUUGUCACCAACAUGAAUUAUAGCAUUUUAACUGCCUGUUCCUUUUUUUCUCUGCUGUGUUUCACCUGGACUCUUGACUUUCCUCCUCGCGAGGUCGCUUUUUAAAGUACUGGCUGAUUUUGCCUGUCAUAACUGCAACGCUAAAAACGGAGUAAACUUUUUUUUUAAUAAACACGUCAUGCUUGGAUGCAAAAAAGACAAGCAGUAUUUACCUGUUUGUGUCCAGCCGCCAGGGAAAAUCAGGAUGCCGAUAGCACCAACUAGCGGGAAAAAAAACAUGAUUCGAUCCGUUUCUUCUUCGGUAGAUGCUUCAGGUCUUUCCGGUGCACUGCUGUUGAUAUAGCACCUCUAUAGUGGCGCAACGCUGCAACUGCAGUUAAAAUACGUUGCUGCUGCAGAGGGACAUCAUACGCUCAAUCAACACAGCUGGAGCUUUACGCUGUGUUGAGCGAAAUCAAUCGCUCUGGCUGGGGGCGGCACAAAAUUAGGUGGAGGCGGCCGCCACGCAAUUUUGAACGCAGGAAAAACCCUGCUCAUUGAAAUAAAAAAAAGAAGUUUUUUUAAAGAAAAGUGGCCAGCAUGGUGGGCAUAAGUUACUUUGGCCUGAACUUAACUACCAUACUUGAGUACCUAACAGGAUUUCAGACUUGAUGGCACAUAAAACGACACUGUAAAAGAAAUUGUCGUUAAAGCUGUAUUUUUUUGAGCAUACUAUUAUUUGUUUUUGACAUGCAAAAGCAAAAAUGACAGGAGUGAUGUGCAUUGUGGAUCAGGAAAGGAGGACAGGAAAAACUGAGGGUGGGCACUGUGGGUGCAGCCAUUUGUCAGUGUGUGGGCAACAGAACCAUUUUGUCUGAUUUUUGUGCCAUCUGUGCUUGUCUGACAAGUAUACAGUGUACUAUGCAAUUUUCUUUUCCCCCUGUUGUCCACAUUGAUUUCCCUCCUAUUGUGGUGGGCACUGGAUAACCAACUCUGCAUCACCCUCAGCUGCAGCAGCGCAGCAUGUAGCAACCAAACAGGGCUGAUGGGUUGAAGUUACACGGUUCAGAGAAAGCAGAUUUAACCGAGAAAAGAACAUUUUCUAAAUGUCACCAAAAAAAUGUUUUUUUUUCAUAUGAAAAAAAAGAAAACACCAAUUUAAUACAUUUUUCCUGAUAAAAGCAAACACAAACAUUCUCCAUGUUUUUUCAUUUUUCUGUGUUGGUGACCGCAAGAAAUCUGUUGGAUUUGAGGAUCUAAACUUUUCUCAUUAUAACACCAAAAUGAUACAGCAGACGCAUCUCAAACAAACUUCUUUUCUGGUUGAGAACUGAUGAAAGAUGCUUAACAAGGGCAGCUGUGGUCUGUAGAAAUAGAGCCUCAAUUUCCCCAACGAUUAUUGUGCUCAAAAUUUAAAAUGCAACUCUCACAUCUGCACCAUUGUUCAUAUCCAGGCCUGUUAAUUUGUCUGUGGUGCUUACUCUCUGUCUGUCUGUCUGUCUGUCUGUCUGUCUCUCUCUCUCUCUCUCUCUCUCUCUCUCACUCUCUCUCUCUCCAGGAUCAAUGUAGUAUGGUAUGUUCAGGGUUUACCCUACAUGCAAUUGAUUGUGGCGCACUGCCAUGGUUAAAUAAAAGCCGCCACACCUAAGAAAAUUAGUUUUUAUCUCACAUAGUUCUACCUCGGACUCAUAUGUAUCAGCAGUGUUUCCCCUACAUUCAUUCAGCAGCGGCGCACCGCUGAAUGAUUCUACUCGCGCUGUGUGAGCACAACAACACACACGUUAUUUUCGACUUGUCAUGAGUCAUCAUCGAGCGCAUCAAAUCCAGACCCUGUUCCACUAAUGUGAAGGGUAACGUUUAAGCUUAUACACGGUCUAUAUUGCGAGUAUCAGGGAUAACGUAACAUGGGGAAACAUUGAUGUCACAUGUAGACAAUCAAAUAUUCAGUGUUUCCCCUAGGUUUUUUUUUUUUUUAGCUGCGCCGCUGCUGUCUGUGAGGGGGGAGAUUUUUUGCUGUCACCCCCACUCUCUUGCUGCCGUGUAUAAGCUUGAAUGUUACCCUUCACAUUGAUGGAAGAGGGUCCGACAGGAUUUGACGUGCUUGUUAAUGACUCAAAACAAGUCGAAAAUAACGACGCAUUUUGUUGUGCUGACAUAGUGCGAGUACAAAUCAUUAGUGGCGCAUUGAUAUUAAUGAUCAUGUGAAAUUUCAGUAGCAGCGCAUGUACGUGGUGGUGCACCGCUGCUAAAUGAAUGUAGAGGAACCACUGAUUAUUAUUUUGCGCCCACACGUCUUGGUCACAGCAUAGAAUAGUCUUUUUUUGAGAGAUGGUCCUUUCUUCAAUUCCCUAAAUAUGUUACCAAUUUUAGGUGUUUGGUUUAAAAAACAUGCUUAUGGGUGCAGAUUAUUUGUGCUUUCCAAAUAAUCCAAAAUGAGACGUCAAAAGCUGUAUAAUUUUUGUUUGACCAGCAGAUUUCAGCAUCUGGCCUCAUCAGCUCAGUGCUCUGUGUAAGCAUGCUUAGGUGCCUUUUGCAUAAUGUCUCACUGAAUAAUGCUGCAUGACUGGCAGGCUGCACCGCCUCCAUGGAGCGGUGCUGAAUUCAGCAUUGUUGGCUCCCCUGGUGUUUUUAAAAAUGUCAAGUCCAUUAUGAAUUCAUUCAGGUUGCAAACCGCUUCCUCUGGUUACCUUAAUCUACUACAAACAGUGUCAGACCAAGAGACGAAGCUAACUUGUUUUUCAUGACAUCAAGGCAUGCAGAAUAUUUUGAUUAUCUGAAGUUAAAAGCAGUUACUGUGUUUCUGUGCAUAUUUAAAACACUACCAAUUUAUAAUACCUUGACCUGCGUUUUUUCUGAUUAAUAUUUUUGACUGCCCAGUGGACCUUUGCAUCACAGCAGAUUUGAUUACAACACCAACAGCAUUCGCUCCCUAGUAAGGAUUAGGGAUAGGUAUCAUUUGGAUUAAGACGAAUCAGAUCCUGAUUCCGGUUCUGCUUAUUGAUUCCAAUUCCUAAUGACUCCUUAUUUCAAUUCCAAACAGGUGAAACAUAGGAAGCUAAAUGUAUAUUUAAGUUACUUUAUUGAUUUCUGUUAUAAAAUUCGUGGACAUCCAGCUAAGUUCGGCAGUAUAAUCACAGACAACAACUUGGUACUACUUUGUAGCAGCACAUGCCCCCCGUAAUAACCCCCCAUAAAAACUGUUAUCAACGUCUGGUGGUUUGCUGAAUAUUUAUAUUUUAGCCUUUUGUGUUUAAUUGCCUUCUUGUGCUGAUAUCAGUAUAUUUUUAUCCUGCCGAGCUGCGAAGGGUUUGCCGUCAGAGUUGCUAAGCCCCCCCCCUGAUUUUUGGUUGAAAAUUUCAGGGUUUUAAUUGACCAAGAAUUUAUUUAGCACAUACAGUGUUCAAUAGUGUAUUUCUUUCCUUUGUUUACAUUUCUGUUACUACAUCACAUGCUGCACUGAUCUGAUUGGUUGUAGAUCUGUACAAUAUAAAAUAGAAGCACAUUUACUGCAUCUUAGCCAAAAUGGUUUUCGGUUUGGAGAACCUUAAAAGCACAUUUGAGUUUGUUUUUUUAAAACACUCAAAAGAUCAGUAAAUAAUUUUCUCCAUCCAUUCAACCAUGCUAGAGCCAAUCUCAGCCUGCAUAGUCUCUUUUUAUUUGGAAAUACUGUCAUUGCUCAAAGCAACUUAAUAUUACAAAGCGUAAAGAUUGGGCUGGUAGCAAGACUGUGGCAUUCAGAGAUUUUAUCCUUUACACCCACACAAAAACACCCCCUGGCUUGCAGAUAAAAUGAAAUGCUUUUAUUACAGUGGCUCAGCUAUUCUAAAAAACACAUGGACAUUGCUCUCAGUCGGAGCUUUCAGUGCAGCAGCAGCUCAGUGGAUUGUUGUAAUGAGCCUCCUCGUUACACUGAGGGGAUCCCACUGUGUUUGAAAAGUAAUUACCCCUGUACAACAAUAACUUUGUACUACGGGUCAUUAGAGCCAGUGUCCACUGAGAGAUUCGGGACACUUAUGUUAAUCAGCAGGCUAGAGGUGCCUUACAUUCCCUCUCUUUGCCGUGUUACUUACCUCUUUCAAAUCCUGAAAUAUGUGCCGACAACAGACCUGGCCUAAUAAAGAGAAUUGACCAAAAAAAAAGCCAAAAGGCAAACAAAAGAAACCUCAUGACCCAUAUUUUGUAUCCAGGGAAUAAUUAAAUUUUUGUGUUUGUUUGUUUCUUCACCUCUACCCACUAAUCUUAUGAAGAAGAGAGUCCCCAUGCAGCCCAUUUGUGCUUUAUAAAGUUGGAACCUUAGGCCAAAUAUCCAAUCAGCAAAUUAUAGUUGUAUGUUUAUCCAACUUUUCAGAGCUGCAGAUGCUUCUUUUGUUUAGAGUUACUCUUUAUUGAACUGUCUUGGCUACACUCAUUUUGGCCACUCAUAGGGUUUGCUGAGGGUGUCAUCACAGUGCAGAGUCAGGUGCAUGUGUGUGCGCUCGUUUCCCCCUGACUGGGAACAGGUUAUAUAUACUCUUGGGCUCCAGGUCCUUGUGCUGAAUCAUUAGCUCAUGUGCUGAGAUAGUGAGAAGGUCUCUCUCUCUUUGAUAUCUAUCUUGAGUGGCUCCAUGAGCACCAAAAGCCUUCCUACACGGUUCGUUCUCCCCUUUCAGAGACCUUAAAAGUGGUUUUGUUGAGUCAGUCCUUCCCGGCCUUUUGUCCUCUUUUCUAAGAUAUUUAGCAGCGCCUUGAGUUCCCUUUUGGUUUAGAGUUUUUUUAUGGCUCUCCCUGGUUGUGUUAGUUUUUUGUCAGUUGCUUGGCAGUGGUGGUUUGGUGCCCCUUUAUUUCCUCCUAAAGCUGUUUUUUUUUUUUUUUUUUUUUAAGGAAUGUCUUUGCGUUGGUUUGUGCCAUCUGUACAAGGUUUCUCAGCAUAUAAACCAGUAAUUUAAGAUAUUUUUCAUUCACCUUGUGUUUCCCUAUAAUUGGCCAGAGUGUAAAAUUGCCCACAGAAGCUUAAACCAAGACCUUGGCUAUGCACAAGGCGCCUAAUUUAUUUUUCUCUCCUUCCCAAUCCCCUUCAUUCCCAGCUUUAUUGCUCUGCACCUCAUCUCUUUUUCCAUCCUAAAGGAAUCAUAUUUUCUUAUCUGUUACCAACUUACUCCGUCUUUCUCAUUACUCCACUCUAAACUACACCAGGGUGUCCCAUUUUGCUCAUCCAUUUUUGGCUGGAUUAGCAGGAAGAAAUUGUACUUACAAACAUAUCGAAACAUGUCCUUCCUGUUUUGGUUAAAGGGACAAGUUUCCAGUGGAGAUGUUUUCAACAUCCAUAUUACGCGCCAGUCUUCCCCUUACCAGUCAGAAUCAAAUAAGUAAAACAGUAAAUUACGUCUGUCUUCUAACAUUGAGGUGGCAAACAUUGUACCAUAAAUGAUGGGUCAACUUAAAUAUCCAACUGACGUUAGCCCAUGUUUUUCUUUGACAAACAACAGUACAGUAUAUAAAACUGUGGGGCGACGACGGCAUACCUGUGGAGAUAAAGGGGCCGUAUUUGCCAUUACAAGCACCUAUAGGAGUGUUUACAUGAGUCAGUCUGUAGCGGCAUGUAUAAUUGUAGUGACUGAUGGGAUGUGGGCGGGGAAUUGAUACAGGGAGUUAGUGCGAGGCUAUUAUUCUGCUCCCCUUCUGCCUGUCCCUUCUGCGUUGCUCUCUCUUUGACUCUAUUUUUACAUCUUUUCCCCGUCUCUGGAGAUCUCUGCUUGCCGAUCCUUUCACUUUGUAUUAAUAAUAUUCACACCAUGUCAGUCAGUCGAGUUGGCUGUGUUUGAAAGCCAGCUGACAGGGCACAGGAAAAGCUAUUCUUUGACAAUAGUAACAAUCACAUCUUCCUCAUUUUUUUUUCAUUGACAGGUAACCUACAGAAUUUUAAAAAGUCAUUAAAGAAAUUAAGGCAGUAAUUGGUCUUAUACUUUACUGUUAAUACGCUGUGGGUGUCCAAAGAUCAAACUUUUAAGGCUAAUGGGAAAGAAGUCAGGCUGUGGCCAAGCACAGUUGAGGCACUUAACGUUAUAUGACCAUGUUAAGCUUUGAUCACUGAUUCGCAGACCAGCCAGGAACUAAAUUCUCUCUAAUCUGGACCUGAACCAGCAACUGAGGCUCAGCGUCUCCCAUCUUGCAGUCUUUUCUUUCCUUCACUGUGUCCAAUUUAGCAGCCUUUGUCAUAAAUUGUUCUACAUGAUACUGCUCAGCCAAUCAGAGCCUUAACUCAGAUUGGUGUUACAAGUAGGUUAGGGUGUCUGAGAAUAAUGAAGCUGCAUGAUGGAGCCAGCUAAGAGCUGCAUCACUAAGACAUGAGCGAGAGCACAAGUGAGGCAUUGUGUGCUCAGAAAAUCAAGCUUUCUGUCAUGAAUGGAACGAUUUUUGUCGGUCGUGUGUGGCGGCAUAUGCCUUGUGUGUUUUGAUACUGUAGGGAUUAUUCAGUGUCUCUGUAUAGUAUAGUGGGUUUUAGUCCAACAAUAAAGCCCUGUCAAGGUGAACAGCUACAGUGAGGCAAGUCACAUGGCGGGCUUAUUAUGAAUCAAAUGAAGAACAAGUAUUCUUGUAAUCACUGAAAUUACUGCUCCCUUUAUUUGAAGUAGUCCUGUGUGCUCAUUAAACGAUUUCCGUCAGAGGAAAUGUUUUUAAUUUGCGGUAAGGUAUGAUAAAGAAUCAAACCGCUGCAUACUAAAAGUAGGGGUGUCCCAAUAUGAUAUUGAUAUUGGAUUUUGGCAAAAAAACAAAUAUCAGAUUAUAUCGGCCUGCAUCUAAAAUCCUAUAUAUCAGCACUCCGCAGUACCUCUAUCUAGCAGCGCCCCGAUCCAGCAAGCUGAUCCCACAAAAUCACAACAACUGUGUAUACUAAGGUACUAACAAAGUAGCAAGGAGUAGGAGUGAUGUUGGCCUUGUGGUAUUUUUUUUUAAGUCUGAAAAAGACGUUGCAGCUGAGUGAAAAACAUGUCAUGCACAAUUUUGUGCCAAUAUCAGAGCAAUAUCGGUCAAUAUUGAAAGCUACAAUAUCAGUAUCGUAUCGGAAGUCAAAGAGUUGUAUCUGAACACCCAUAACUAAAAGUUAUUACAACAACCAUUCCUCAGACACAUCUAUUGAUUACUCAUUAUUGAUAUCAGUAUUGGCCCUGAAAAACAAAUUUUGGUCUAUACUUAAAAAAUAAAAAUAUCUGUUUUUAACUGGUUAUAAAACAGACUGAAUGUCAACCGUGAGACCUCUUUGUGACCUAUAAAAACAAACAAAACCAUUAGCAAAGAGACCGACUAUUUCUUUGUUGACAUGUUGAUAGCCUGUAAUGGCUUCAUGUCGGACAAGGUGAUUUGCUGCAUGGAGAAGAAAACCCAUUUUUCAUUCCUUUUACUGGAGCCAAUUAGAUAUUUAACUGUUAUAAAAAAAAGUAGGAGGAGAUGAUUUUGUCAGAAAACACAGUUUCCACAUGUACAGGAGAAGAUAGCAGAGAUUGGCGCAGGCGUCACUUUCAUCCACUGGGGGGCAUCAAGGUCAACAGAGAGCAAGGGUUCCUGACAGGAGCUUUAAAGUUCUGACUUUUUAAUUGUACCACAUUGUUUUAACUUAAAUGCUAGGUAGCUUUUACAGACGGUAUUACACCAAAUUUUUAUUCAAUUUUUUAUAUGAAAAGAGAAACCUUAAAAGACCAUUUACCUCCAUAGAAUAUCAAUGCACUUCUAAGGUUUCCAUUUAAAGUAACAGACAAUAGGUAAGUAAUGUUAGAGGGAAAUUUCACAUCAUUAUUGAGUCUCUUUAAACUUCAGUGAGUUAAACUCCUGAACUUUCAUGUUGUUAUAGGCUGUUUAUUUAUUCUAAUUAGUUUGCCUAUAACAAUGUCUUUCAAAUAGAGUUGCAGAAGUGUGAACAGCAGUGUUGAGAGGCUUUUUCAGAACAUAAUGGUGUGUUUGAGUUUGACAGUUCACUGGCUGUUACUGUGAAAACAGGAGGAACAAUACAACAGUGGCACCAUCUGUGUGGCGAUUGUUGCUAGACAAACACAUGAAGACAUAUGUCUGCACGCCCACUCAUGCAAAUGUCAUAAAUAGAAAAAAGAAAAAUUCAGUUAACUCUUUCAUCCACUUUUUCUUCUUCCUCAUACUUACAUUCACUCAUUUGUUUUAGAGAGUUAGCAGUGAACAACUCCAAAAUUCAACUUUAACUGAAUCAAAAAAGAAGCUGUAAAAAAAUGUCGGUUACAACCUUGACCUUUUUUUGUAGCUGCAUACCACAUAUUGACAAGCUGGCAGCAGUUUCCACAGUUAUGUGAAAGAACUCUGUACCCCCCCCCCCCCCCCCCAAAAAAAAAAACAGCACUUCUGGAUUUUUAUCCACCCAAAAGUUUCCAAACUUGAAGGAUGUGGCAGAUAAAGGACAUGCGCCACAUUCAAGGUUUGUAAAUUCCCAGAAGGUAAGGGAAGAGGAAUAUUCCUGGAAUCACAACAUCCUCCUCAUCUGAGAAAAAGAUUGCUCCAGGCUACACCCACUUUUACAAUCCUCUCAAAUAAACAGCCUUUUUUUGUUUGCCAAAUUCUUCAUAAACUAAGAAAAAAAUAUCAGUGACUUUAAAAUUACACCGUCACUUUGCGUCAGCUUCAAUCCAGCAACCUAGCGACCUUAAAGUAAUCUGUACAUUAUGAAAGAGAGAGAGAGAGAGAGAGAGAGAAAGAGCAGGGGAGCUAAAUUCUGUAUGGUGUAAGAGGGGGAGUGUUGUGCUCUGAGAAGAACAUGUUUCUUGGUGAAAAAUAAAAAAAACAUGAUGGUUUUGACUUGAGGGAUCACAGCUCAGGAUUUCCUCUGAAUUUAAAUCAGGAAGAUCAUUUCACACCAAACUCACAGAGCCACUGAACUUCACUACUGAGAUACUGAACAUAGUAAGAGACCAAUCAACACUCGGGGAACCACAGUAGACCGGCUCUGGACUUUGGGCUGUCUUACCAUUAAAAGACUUGUUCUUAUGAACUGGAAAGUUGGCAAACCGCGAUGUUUCACCAGAGAAUCAUGUUUAGGAGGAUUUUUAGAUCUCCUGAAUAUUAUCCAAUAUAUCUAAAAAUAUGUAAACAUAUCUCCUGCUAAAAGAUUUUGGCAAUAAUUUGGAUGACUACUGGGACAUUAUCUACAACAGCCUCAUGAAUCGAUUUGCAUAUCUUUCUUUACUCCUUUUUCUUUUUUUAUGAACAUUGAAUAACACUCUUGAGUGUGUUUCUGUCCUGUUUGUGUGUGGGAUUUGUUUGUAUGUUGAUUUAAGUUGUAAAUAUGCAUAAUAAAAACUCUUAAUAGCAAAAUAUUGAGCAUGACACUCACUCAAAAUUUCACUCAUGACUUAGAAGUAUUUACUAAUUUACACUUAUGAAUUGAAACAACAUCUGUUGAAUGGAGACUCUGGCUGUAAAUCAUAAGAAAACCUCACUGCAGACUUUUCAGUACACCUUUGCUGUCUUGCAGUGUUGAACCCGUGACCCUUAUUAAGAUGUCUUAAUUACAAUGGUUUCCUGGGAACCAGGGGACACAUCAGAGGUGUCCUUUGCAGCGAAUAGGGCUUGAACUUUAUCAUGUAGAGAACAGCUAGUUAACAGCGAAUCAUGUGGCAUUGCUCCAUACACGCUGGGGAAAAGGUCAGUGCACCUUGCAUCUCCAGCAGCGCUGACCACUGACAUCUCCUCUCCAGGCACAUGUAGUGCAGCUCUGCACAGCUGCUUGACAUCAGAACUUGUAGAUCAUUACUUCUCAACAGGAAGCCGUUGGUUUAAGGUUCAGUUUGGUGUCACAGUUUUAUUUCUACACUUGAAAAAAAAAACAUUUAGAAAGUUCUCCCCUCAUGUUUGCUUCAGACUCUGUCCUACUUGUAUAUUUCCCAGAACGUCAUCAGUCAAAUAUUUAUUGUGUUGUGGAUGUUAUGAUUGGCAAGUGUCUGACAGACCUGUGAUCAUCCAGACAUCCCUGCUGCCUGAACGACAACAAACUAUGAAAAUUUGAUAUGUUAUGGCGAUAACCUGAUUGUGUCAUGCAGACAUGUGGUUAAAAUAUCACCAUUGUGAUUGACAUUUCUGACAGAAGUGUGAAGAAAAACCGUCUCGGACCUUCUUUUUUUUACAUUUAAGUUACCAACUGAAGCAGAAGAGGUUUUUCUUUUCAGUCUCAGGUUUAAAGUCAGUUCACCUCAGGGUGGAUUAUUUGCAUAAAUACUUUUAUUUUGAGAAUAAUGGAAGCCAAAAGAGUCACACCUAUUUGUAUAGCUCAUUAAAAACAGCAUGAGCUGACCAAAGUGCUGCGCAGACAGAGAAAUAAAACAGUUUACAAAGACAUGAAAGGUUGCAGUUACAGCCAAUACUGUAAACAUAUUUAAGGGACACAUGCUGGCACAGGCAGUUUAGGUCUAAAAGCCUUUAAAACACUUGAAAACUGAGUAAAAAGCUUCUGCCUUCCUUUGAGGAGAGAUUAAAUGACUCAUCCUGAUAGAAAAGCUCCAGAAAGUAUCAGCAAAUAUUCAAUCUUUCAUUCGUCCAGGGUUCAGGAUUAUGUCUCCAUGUUGGCAGGGUUUGUGUUUGGGCCGCCUGCCAGCAGAAGAGCAAGUCGCAUCAGUCACUGUCAAGAUUUAAAUUACAGGAAAGAAUGGGUGAAAAAAAAAACCUCCAGUGGAGGCACGGAAAUGUGAAACUGCAGAGGGAUUCCCAAUCAGUUCAUCUCUCUCAGCUUUCACUAUGUUAGAUUUUCUUAGUAUUCAAUAUUAAAUUGUAAUUUUAAAUCUAAUGAACUUGUCAUCAGCGAAUCAGCCAGUGUUGUCUUAACCUCCUGAUCACAAACCUUUUUUCUUUCUAUUUUACCGAGUCAUGACCCUCUUAAAUUUGUCAGAAAAAGUUAAGUGUAUAUGUGCAGUCAUGCUCAGACAAUGACAGUGACUGAAAGUGUAAUUUUGACAUGAUAAAUCACAGCGGCUGGGGAACGUCUAGUGAUAUCUAUGUAUGUCAGACGGAAUGUGAAAAUGUCUACCCUACUGAAAAGAGACUUUUUAGAAAAAGUUCAACUAACUGAUACUUCCUGACUGAUGAGUCGAGAUGACGACUGUUGUGAAUUGGCGCUAUAGAAAUAAAAUUUGAUUGAUUGAUUGAUUACAAAAAAUAUUUUAAAAAAGCCAAAGUCCUAAAACCCUGGCCGAGGUACAGAAGGCAGUUCCCAGGCAGUGCUGUACUUUGUGUUUUGAUCCUCUUAUCUAACAGGCUUUUUGUCCUUAAGCCAAUAUCUACAGAUUUGCAAGGUAGAUUAAUUUUCUAUGCUGUUCAAGGUGACACAGUCAUUGUACUUGGACAGAAUUUGUGAUGACAAGUAGCACUUCACUAGCAUGAGUGUGUCUUUGCAUCAGUUUCUAAGUGGUGGCUUUCUCUUGGACUUGUUGCACUUGUCUCAUUUUAUUUCCUCGUGCUAAUCUAUUAGUGAGAGGAUCUAAAAAAAACCCUGCUCUUAUUCAUUCAUGUUGAUCUCAUGGUUGACCUUUCCAAGGAUGCUGGAAUCCAAGCUUAAGUGCUCCUUUACACACGUUGUUAUCAAUGUCUGUUUUUGUUAGGUGCACAGAGAUAAAUAUAGUACAAAUUUAAUGAGUAAUAAAGUUGAUGUGACCCUGGAUAUGUUGUAUAAAGGAGUGUGAACGCCACAGCGAGUGUACCUGAUCCUCUGUGCGCACAAAGACAGAUCUUGUUCGUUGAUAUCAUUGUUCGGCAUUAUGAAGUGAAAGAGAGCUCACCUUUCAGCUGACCUGGUCUAACAUUGUGUUCCCACUUUGUCCUGUUUUGCCCUUGUGUACGAAAGGGUUUUAGCACCAUCCACUUCAUCCCUGUGUUGUUUCCCCUCUCUGAGCACCUGUUGGGGUCUGAGCAGGACGUGGGACUGGCCUACUUAUCAGAGUGGCCAUGUCGACAGUUAAAUCUGUAAAAGGCCUUUUAGAUACAGACUGGUGAAGUAUGCAUGCAUGUUUUAGCCUGAAUACGCUGAACAUUGUGCUGAAUAUGCAGUGUUCUAUCCUGGUGUUUUCCAAUUUACAUCAUAUUGACCUUUCUGUACGUCUGUGUCUGGAUUUGUACAGCUGGUAUGAUGAAAAUGAAAAUGAAAAUACAUCCCCGUACAUAUUUCACACAUGAUACAAUCUCAAAGCCUGUGGGAUGUCCUUUUACAAGGUUGCAGUCUUCAAUUUAUCUCCACAGUGACAUCUGUACAAGUGUUGCCUAUUACUUGUUUGUAGACAUCGGCUCUUUAAAGAUGCCGCCUUUGAAGGACCCAGCUUGCAAAGUAGGCAGUUUACUAGGGACUCAGCUUCCAAAAGACAGAGUUUACAACAAAUGAAGCUCAUGAGGAGUCCAGAUUACCCUAGCCUAAACUUACAAAGGAUGCUUUUUAGGAAGGAUGAAGUUUUUCAAAGGAAGGAUAAAGUUUGCUUACAAAGGACAAAGCGAAGACAGAAUGAAGUUUACAAAGAAUGAAGCUUGCUAAGUAUGAAGCUUUCUUAUGAAGGAUGAGACUCAUGGAGGACAUGGCUCCCAAAAGACUAAGCUUUAAAAGUGUUAAAAGUUGAAGUAAUGAGAUGGUCCAGUCUAUGGAGGAUAGUCUUGGGACACAAAGCAGAAAUGGAAAUGAUAUAUUAGUAUGUCUGUUGAGGCAAACCAAGAACCAUUCAUUUAUUCAGUAAACUAAAGGGCUUUACAGAGUAGAAAACAAUGCAGUAACAAUCAUAUAAAUAAAAAUCAUGACACUAUGCAAACAUAAACAUUCAAAUAUGAAAGAAAAAGAUACCAAAAUGUUCAAUCGAGAUAGAAAAGAAAGGAAAAGAAAAUAUCGAGAAUAUGUUCUUGGAGAUGAAGUGGAUCAUCUUUCAUGAAUAGCUUAGCCUUGUGUCUGCAGCACCAUAGAAGGCUUGUGCACAUUUUUAUUGAUUUCACAGCCUUUAGGGAGCUGAGAAAGAGAGGUGGGGGGUUGAGUUUUCAGUCUGGGUCUACAGUCUGAAUGCUGUGCCAUUCAAAUGUCAGUUCAAACCUAUAAUCAGCUUUUACAGUAAAACUCUGUUCUCAAUGAAGCAGAGCUACAAAGUGAAGCCCUGGCAGAGUUACAUGGCAGUUUUCCAGGUAAUCAUUCCAGGGAGACAAUAUAUUGAAGCAUGAGUUUGAGUGUCCUUGAGAUUCUGAGGUUCCCCCGCUGUCUGCCCCGUCAUCAUGCACAAGACAGUACGUCUCUCACUGCGGGAUAUGUAAUCAAAUGGCUUGUUGCGUGCUGUGCACCUGACUUGAUGUAGCUUAUUGAUGACACAGACUCAGCUUGCUCUUUUUUUUUUUUACAGGGCCUCAUCUUUGAGCACUUUUGCACUUGAAAAAUUUCAGAUACAAAUGGUGAUGACUUAUGCUGUGUUCCAGUUACCUCAGAAAUCAGAUGUCAGAGCUGGGAACGACGUUACACCCAAGUUGACGGUGUUCCAGUAAACAAGUCGGAAAACAAAGAUGGACACCUGUUGUCAGCUGUUGUUAGCCAUUGUCAGCUGUUGUUAGUGGUUGUCAGCUGUUGUCAGCUGUUGUCAGCUGUUGUCAGUUGUUGUUAGUGGUUAACGACAGUUGUAGACAUCCCAUAAUACAGUAUUUCACUCUUACAAACAUCAUAGCACUGUGUUCACAAUUAGACGUUGGGCAGUACAACAUAUACCACUUAUUUAAUUUCACAAAAAUAAAACAGAAGUGUUAAUAAAUAAUACAUAAUGAGAGCUUUCAUUGUUACUCUUUAUUUGAUGAACUGCGCUGCCAUCUUGGAAUAUGACAUUGUCGUCAAGUCAGGGUUGGUGAGGAUCAUCCGACUUUCCGAGUCAGAAAUCUGACUGUUGGGGGGUGUUCCAGAUGAACUUCUGGAAUCCUGACUUCUGAGUACAAUUGGAAUGCACCAUUAAUCAUACACAUGGUUAUUUUUAUAAUGAGGAAAAAAGGGGGAUUUUAAUCUGCAAAGUGUAUGUAACAAACUAGGACGAGGAUCUGUAAUGUUGCUGUAGAAAAACUAGAAAAAAUGUUCCCACAGAAAUAGCUGGACAUCUUGAGGAGCCCGUAGGGCAUGAAAAACAUACACAUACCACAUGGUAAAAGUUCACCCUAACAACCUCUGCCAAUCUGUCACUUGACUUAAAGUGACCAUGUAUAUGUCAUUUUUAUAUAGCUAUCUAUUCCUCUACCUUCACUUAGACUGAAAUCAUGUGCUGUGUUAUUUUUCCAAAUGCUCUAUGUGUCAUUUAGUUUGUAGACGUAUACCCAAUAAAGUGAGCACUUGGUAACAAAAUAAUAUAUGCACAUGUUAAGUGUCUUCCUGAUGUGUUACUGACUGGAAAAUUGGAGGAUAUUAUUGGCAUGAAGAGGCGACAAAUCAGCAACACCGUGUACUUAUGUACUUAUUAGAAAACUGCACCGUCUGUGUGGAGAGCAGCAAUCGUCCAUUAGUGAGAAAUAUACUGAGUCUAAAUUUGGAAGCUGGGGCACUCCUCUGGAAGGCAAAACAGGACGAAUGAGGACCAGAGGAUCCCCAGGGUAAGAAAACAUCUGCCAGCCAAAACAAAACAAGGGGGUGGUGAAAAUGUGCAUACGUGUAAGUGUGUGUACGUGUAAAUGUGUGUAUGUGUACAGUAUUUAGGCCCGCAGGUCAGACACUGAGCCUCAACUGCUGCUCACUCAUUACUAUCAUGUUUGGAUGAAACGCUCUCUGUGCAUUAGUGAGUUUUAUCUCCUCCUGUCCUGCAGAGGUACCACUCUUCAUCUUCUUGGAACCCGCAUCUUGGGACAAGUCCCGCCCCCGAGCUUAAAUGUUCAGAGUCUCUACAUGUAGAGAUUGAAAUUGGAUUGGCAGGGGAGUUUUUGUACAAGUUACUGAUGAAUUCAGCCAUGUUUUUUUUUUUUUGUACUUUUGACUGAAAAAUAAGAGAAGAAAGGAGAAAAAUAAAACACAGGGUCAAGCCUAGGACUGGGCGAUUAUAUGAUUGUGAUUAAUGAUCGUGAUAAAAAGUGACAACAGCAAAUCGGAGUCAAGCUUUUCCUGCUCAGUUCUGUAAGUUGUCGAAGACGUAAACAGGAGAAGUAAACAGAAAGACCGAACGUGGAGCUAAACGAGAGCUUAGGCCGGCACAAUAGAUGUCAGCCGUGACUUUGAGCCACCCUCGAAAGAUGACAUUGUUGAGAAGAAAAGUUAUUCAACGUCGGUUGUGUGGCGGUGGUUCAGGUAUCUCCAAAGUGACAUCGAGCAAUUAGGCCGAUGUGUAAGGUAUGUUGGCGGUCGGUGUGCUCAAAAACCGGCAACACAACAAAUCUGUUUUAUCAUUUAAAGAAGUACUUGCUGAGAAGUACUUUACAUUUUAACGGGUCUUCAUUAUCCCUGAGGGGGCGAUUUGUUUACUUGUGGUCUUGCAUACCUGCAAAAACACUCAGUGCUGUAAACUAGUUCACUGUAUUAUUUAGUAUUUAUCUACAUUUGUUGUACCAUUGAGUUAAAAUGUUUUUUUUCAUUAUUGUUUUCUAAGUUUAUCUUAUUCAAUUUGCUUUGUUAUUUACUUUGUAUGUUAAUAAAAUGAUAAAAUUAACCUCUAGUUUCUUUAGUUUUAAGUACAGAUGCUUUCAAAAUGACCGUUUAAGAAAAAAUCGUGAUAACACUCGAGUUAGGAUGAUAUGACAAAACAUAUUGCAAUCCUUUAUUUGUUUAAUCGCCCAGUCCUAGUCAAACUUUUUGAAGAGGAGACAUAAGGAAAAAGUUUAACUAAGUAUAAACAAACAAAGAAACAUAAGGAGGAAUAUAAGUGCCAGUGAGAGGAGUUUUUUAUCUUAUUCUCUUUGAUGCUGACUAAAAUAUUGUCCAAAAGUGCUGGUUUCGCCGAAAAAUAUUGCAGAGCCUGAUAUUUUAUUUUCUGUUUUGUGUACACUUGAAAUGGUGAGAUGAUUAAAAACCCGAGGAGAGCAGCAAACACACACACAGACAAACAGCAGAGCCUGUGAAUGUCCUGGUCCUCUCAUGUUACCCACUUCGCUGAUUCUGCUACACUCCCUGAAAAGAGUUCAUUAGUUUUUACUCUUGAACAGUCACUGAUAUGAUGCACAGAAUUACCCUCCGUGAUGAACGUUUUGUUGUUAAUAACCGCUCUCCAACAUCUUUUCUCUCUACGGAGAUUAUAAAAAUAAUGAGAAACAUAAGUCACUGCUGUCAAGAGUAUUUUUAGCCUGAAGUCACAAGCAAAUAUGAAAUAACAUCUUAAGCGUUUUGCAGUAUGUAAUGAAUAUUAUUAACAAGCAAAAUGAGGCUCUAAUUUUACCAAAUGAAGGGAAAUAUACAAGAGAAGAUGAGAAGAGAAAUGCACAUGAAUUCUACAAGUGUUUUUUUUUUUUUUUUAACUUUAAUCCAGUGCCCUGUAUCAGAGCAAAAAUUACCAUUAAAGCAACAUCAAACAGAUUUUUUUGACCAACAUUUUAAAUUGCCUAUUUGCAGUGAUAUCCAUCUUACAUUUGAGGUUUCAGACAUUGAGUUAGCGGUGGAUUAUUUUGCCAACACCUUAAACAAGCAUGAGCCAUCAGAACGGAAAAAAAACAUCAAAACCUUGGAUUGCAACUGAUCUAUCAGACUUAUUUAAGGAGAAAAACACAACUUGGUCUCCCAGUGGACACCUGGACUUUGGUCUAGACCUGAUCUUUUUAGAAAGUACUUUAAUAACACCUGAUGACAUUGAGAAAGUUCCUGCAGCCUUAAACAAACAUUAUGUCACUGCUGGUCACCUUUUUGAGAGUCAAGCCUAGAUUUUUAUAACUUGGGGCAUUUUUUCUUUUUUUGUAAUUUUCUCACUCCUCAUGGUUGUUUACAUUAAUCAGUCUUUAUUUGGUCAAGAAUAUUCUAUUUGUAAUAGUUUCUUGGAAAUCUACUACAAAUAAAAAUUCAGACCAUUGCAAUUUAACACUCUCUAUUUCAACGACAUCAACGCAGAUAACCAGAAAUUUUAACUUCUUUCCAUCCUGUAACUUUCCCAAAAAGUUUAGAGGAUGACUCAUAUUAUUCUGCAUCUCCACAUAAGAAAGGUAACACAGACAUUCUCAACAAUUUCAAAACUCCUAACUUAUUGAAAGUCCUAUAAUUAUUAAUCAAGGAUCAAAUAAAGGAAUUUCUAUCAAGCUAAUGUUGAGUCUGGUGUUAGAAUAAGGCACAGUAGUGUUACUGCAAUACCAAGACCGCAAGUAUUAUUACACUUUUUGUUUAUUCAUCAGAAGUGUUUGAUACUGUGGUAGGGUUGCAGCUCUCGAAUAUUUUUAUUAAUUGAGUAUUCUACCAAAUAUUCCAUUGAUUAAUCGAGUAAUCGUAUAAAACAUAAUAUUUUUAGUGAAAGUGCAAUUAUCGCGGAAAGAGCGUGUGCGUUAGAGGAUUGCAAUGCUCAUAAGAAAGGUAGUUAUGACAUCAACUUUCAUCAUGCCACCAAAGACAUUAGUGUCCGAGAGCUGAAUAGCUCCUAUGUUACCUGCUUCUGCUACUACACUGGCAAUGUUAGGCAAGCUAGCGUGAAGAGGAGUGUGCAGAGGCGCACCGUCUCCGCCAGCGAAUUGCUAAUGAGCGACUGGAGCUCUGCAGAAGAAAAGCCCCUCUCAUUAUUUAUUUUUUCCGUUCCGCAAAACCAAAACUGUGCUUAUUCCUCCUUCUACCGUGGUGACAUAAGCGAGUUGUGUCACCUUGAAAAUAAUCUGUGCGAAACGGUGACGAUUUGAGAAAAUUCCUUGAUCAUUCCUCAGCCCUAGACUGUGGAUCAUAUUUGGAUUUGGAUUUGGAGACAAUGACUUGUUAAGCUACUCUUCUCUUUUUUUACAGUCUUAAAAGGUGUUCCACAAGGUUCAGUUAUAGGCCCAGUUUUAUUUACUAUUCAUACAAAACAUUAUCGUAUUGGUUCUUUGCCCAAUCGACACACUAUUAAUGUCAACCACAUUGUUGAGCCAAAGCUGUACAACUUGCCGUCAAAAAUUAACAUUUAACAACCCACAAGAUAACUUGUUCUCAGUGCUGACAAAACAAAAGUCAUGCUGCUCUUUAGAGCCGAAGCAACAGAACAAAAGACAUUCAUAUUAAAACCAGGAACUAUGUCAGGAGACGGAUUAAUCUAACAUUAAUGGCUCUGUAAGACAACAUUCAACUUAAAUCCCAGUUUAGAGUGUUUGUUCUUAAAUACGCUAUGUACUCUGUUUACAGAUCGGGUUACUGUGAAAUGAAAGUUCAAUAUUUUCCAGUGCUGCAUGUCUUUUAAAAAGGAGAUGUCACUGACUGACUAUGAAUGUGUAACCCUGUAAAGAUCUCGCCUCUUUAUCAAUAUGAAUCCUUUUUUACAGGAGACACAAAAUAGAUAGAGCAAUAGAAAGAGUGGAUACAGUAAUAACGGUCCUCCAGGUCUGUGCUUUGUUGCUUGUACAAGCUUGUUCUUAACAAGCUGACAAGCACCUUGGGUCCUCCAUUGAUCAAACAAACCAGACCCCUGCUCCACUGUUCACUUGGCAGUUCGCAGCUCAAAACAGACAGUUUAUUAUCUCAUUGUGAGGUUUUCUUUAUUUCUUACUGCAUCAUUACAUUUAUCCUUUGUCUACUUCACUGUCUGUUUCCAAUAUUUGUACCUGUUUGCUUUUUAGCUGAUUGGCUGGAAACAAAUAGAUGGUUUUCAAAGUAAAGGUCAUGGUUCUGAAUGAAAAGCUUUUAAAAUGAUGAUGAUGAGCCCGGGAAACCUAAAUGGGAGUAAGGUUGAGUAGAACUGCUGGGAUAUUACACUUUUUUAUUCAAGCCAAAAGAAUAAGUAAAUGCUGUAACGUUAAAGGUCUGACAAAGGCUGUCCAGAGUUUGUAAUAGUUUUUGUUUUUUUCUUUAUCCAUAAAAGCUUUUUCUGAAAAAGUAGUUUUAUUGUGUUUGAGAUGGUUGCAAUUUUUUUUUCUCAAACCAACUUUUUCAGAACAUUUUUUUUAAACUCCAGUAAAGGUCAUGCUAAAUAAUUUAUGGACAAGGUGUAGAUCUAAAUUCCAGUUGGGUUUUUGCCCCCCUGCGAUGCUCUUUUUCACCCACUGAGCAUUUUUUGGUCCAAAAGAGGUCCAAUAGACAUCUAAAUGUAUUCUACAUAACUGGUCUAAAAUCAGGCUACCACAGGUCUAAAAAUGAAAGUUUUUUAGACGUCUAAAUUUAGACCAAGUUCAGACUAAAUCUAAAUAUGUGCUAUAUCUACACUACAAUGUAUAUUGCUCAACAGCUAUCAUAAUUGUUUUUGUUAAGUGCUUGGAGAUCAGUUAUGCAACUCACAGUUGCUUUUUAAAAGAAAUAGUUAUCGAAUAAUUGGCUAAGGUGCAAUGUCUAAAUUCUGUCUAAAAAUAUACAGAAUCUGGACGGUUUAAAUUAGGUUUUAAAGAGAACUAGACGUUUAAUAACCAUCUAUUGCUCAGUGGGAAUUGAUGGUUAUUGAUGUUUUACGCACCAAAGCAAUCCCUCUAAACACCAGAAACUACAGUAACUCUCCAAAGCGACGGGAACAUGCUUACAGAAUGCAUGUGGCCAUAUUCGAUACAGUUGUGUGAUCCAUGGCUUGUAAAUUGGAUACUGUUUAGUCAGUAGAACUACAUGUGGGCACGCCGGUUGGUGCCAUUUAUGGUUCGUCGGGAUGGGCUCUAUGGAGCUCCCUCAAGGUUGAAAAGAAAAUAAAGAAAAACUCCGUACAUGCAGAGUAGGUAAGUAUUUAAAACCAAGUUGACGACUUUGGGUGAAUUAUUAUGUGGCUCAAAAAAAGAAAAAGAAAAAUUGUGCUCGUAAACUUCAACAGUAGUCAUAACAUCUCACCACAACCUCUUUUCACUCGGCCAAACAACAGUUCACUUCCACUCUUCUAAACUAUCCUAUCCAAUACUGAUUACACAUAUCAUUGCAGGAGUCGUCUCGCAUGCUCAUUUAUUCAAAUCCCUCUGAUGCCUUCAGUUGAUCCACCAGCAAGUCUUCCAUUGUCGCAUUUCUUUUAUGGCUGCUUGUUUAACAAAUCCUAUUUACUUUCUAGAGUGGCGUUUAAGCUGUAUGAGUAGAUAAUUACUUCCUCUGCAUACUUAACUUUUUAGAGCUUGUCUGUCUUUAUAGUUCUUUCUCAGACUCAGAGAUGACUCCUCUCUCCUAAUGAUGGAGUACUCCUUAUGUCUCCUCUUACUUCCUCAUUUCUCUUUGUUCCUCUCCACAUCUACUACUACUAUUGUUGACCUACUCUUUUCUAUUGUUAGGGAAUUCACAGUUUUUUGCAGCAUUUAGUCUGCUGUUCAAACUCUGACCUGUAAACAUAUCCUCAAUCAAAUACAUGAAUCAGUCCUAACGAAAGACACUGAAAGAAGAAAACUGACGACUUCUUUCACCUCUCACUCGAGGUCUGCCUGGAGGCUCCAAACAUCCAACAAAUACUGCACUUGGAACGAUUUCUGUCAGAGCGGUGAAGCGCCUCGGGUGUAAUUUGAGAAAGACUGCCAUUAUCUUGACAGUUUUAUGCAAACGGGUAAAAGCAGGUGUUUAAGUUAGUCACAGAAAAGGAACCCUGAUUGGUUUAAUGACGGAUCAGCGGUAUGAACCAGCAGUGUUGAUGUCAAACUCAUUAAGCACUCUUUGUCAAGCAUGUUUUUGUCACUUCUACAUAAUUUUUUCAAAUCGUAGAGUUUUGAAUAGUCUAAACCAAGUUGGAUUAUAGUGUACCCUUGACAUGUUAAUUUGUCACUCUUAAGGGACUGUCGGUUUUGAAUCCAAAGUUUGAACUGUAAUGAGCCUGUCAGACUCACAAUAAUAAAGUAUACCAGCACUUUUGGCCACCUGAAGUAGCUUACCGUGAUCCAGCGGAGAGAGCUGGCAUUGUAACCUGGCGGACAUGGUCAAGCAAAGCAGCACUGAGCCAACACUUGCGACACCAAAACCUCUGAGAGGUGCAGUGUGAAGGUAUUUUGGGUUAAAUUUGCAAUCAGGAAUUCUUUAUAUGUAUUUCGUAUCUGUCCCCACGAGGGAUGGGCAUGAUUAAUCUAUGAUCGAUUAAUUAAUCGUUGUGAAUUACGUCAAUUGUGCAAACUUUUGAUCGAUCAAACGUUUUUAAAAAAAGGCUGACAUCGUGCGUCCAUCCUAAAGCUACUUUCCAGGAAAGAUCAACAUCUGCUGAUCGGCAGGGAUACUAGGGCUGCAGCUAUCGAUUAUUUUAGUAAUCGAGUACUCUAUCGAUUAAUCUGUCGAUUAAUCGAGUAAUCGGAUAAGAAAUGUUUUGCUCUCACUGUAAUACUUUGCAUUGAAUCACGUUUGCCUCAGAGCGGACUUAAUGCAUGGACCGGGUGUUUUCUUUUAAGGUGCUGCAGCAUUGACGACGUGCUGUUGUGAAAUGCCAACUCCGCCUUACAGUAAACGCACUGCACGGCGUUUUCUUUCCUUUUCAGUGUGUAAUGGUCCCACACUUUAGACACUUUCUGCCGUUUCCUCUGCGUGUCAUCUCUUUCUUCCUCUCUCUGUCUGUCCUCGUUUCCCUCCAUGAUUGAACCAAACGCGCCAUAGACAUAAUAAAAGAUAGACCCCGCAUCGGCCGCUACCACGAAUGGGCGCUGUCGAGAAAUGCGGCCGCCAUCUUGGUCCGGUCAUCCGCCUCACUCUGCACCGCUGUUUAACCGGCGGAAUGAAGUCUGAGCGCAUU